UCGGGGUGAAGCAGUUGUGACUAGUGGCGACGGGUGAGUAACGCGUGGGUAACCUGCCUUUCAGAGGGGGAAUAAUGUACUGGAAAACGGACACUAAUACCGCAUAAUAUAUCGGAAUCGCAUGAUUUUGAUAUCAAAGGAGCAAUCCGCUGAAAGAUGGACUCGCGUCUGAUUAGCCAGUUGGCGGGGUAACGGCCCACCAAAGCGACGAUCAGUAGCCGGACUGAGAGGUUGAACGGCCACAUUGGGACUGAGACACGGCCCAGACUCCUACGGGAGGCAGCAGUGGGGGAUAUUGCACAAUGGGGGAAACCCUGAUGCAGCAAACCGCCGCGUGCAGGAAGACGGUCUUCGGAUUGUAAACUGUUGUCCUCUGUGGCGAUAAUGACGGUAGCAGAGGAGGAAGCCACGGCUAACUACGUGCCAGCCGCUGC
rnacentral:rRNA from 1 species